rnacentral:piRNA from 1 species
AAGUGGAACUGAGUGGAGAC